UACGUAGGGUGCAAGCGUUGUCCGGAAUUAUUGGGCGUAAAGAGCUCGUAGGCGGUCUGUCGCGUCGGCUGUGAAAACCCGAGGCUCAACCUCGGGCCUGCAGUCGAUACGGGCAAACUAGAGUACUGCAGGGGAGACUGGAAUUCCUGGUGUAGCGGUGAAAUGCGCAGAUAUCAGGAGGAACACCGGUGGCGAAGGCGGGUCUCUGGGCAGUAACUGACGCUGAGGAGCGAAAGCUAGGGGAGCAAACGGG
rnacentral:rRNA from 1 species